rnacentral:rRNA from 1 species
UUGUUGGUGAGGUAAAAGCUCACCAAGGCGACGAUCUGUAGCGGGUCUGAGAGGAUGAUCCGCCACACUGGAACUGAGACACGGUCCAGACUCCUACGGGAGGCAGCAGUGGGGAAUUUUGGACAAUGGGGGCAACCCUGAUCCAGCCAUGCCGCGUGAGUGAAGAAGGCCUUCGGGUUGUAAAGCUCUUUCAGCCGGGAAGAAAACGCAUGGGUUAAUACCCUGUGUGGAUGACGGUACCGGAAUAAGAAGCACCGGCUAACUACGUGCCAGCAGCCGCGGUAAUACGUAGGGUGCGAGCGUUAAUCGGAAUUACUGGGCGUAAAGCGUGCGCAGGCGGUUUUGUAAGACAGGCGUGAAAUCCCCGGGCUUAACCUGGGAACUGCGUUUGUGACUGCAAGGCUAGAGUACGGCAGAGGGGGGUGGAAUUCCACGUGUAGCAGUGAAAUGCGUAGAGAUGUGGAGGAACACCAAUGGCGAAGGCAGCCCCCUGGGUCGAUACUGACGCUCAUGCACGAAAGCGUGGGUAGCAAACAGGAUUAGAUACCCUGGUAGUCCACGCCCUAAACGAUGUCAACUAGGUGUUGGGAGGGUAAAACCUUUUAGUACCGGAGCUAACGCGUGAAGUUGACCGCCUGGGGAGUACGGCCGCAAGGUUAAAACUCAAAGGAAUUGACGGGGACCCGCACAAGCGGUGGAUGAUGUGGAUUAAUUCGAUGCAACGCGAAAAACCUUACCUACCCUUGACAUGCCAAGAACUUUCCAGAGGUGGAUUGGUGCCCGAAAGGGAACUUGGACACAGGUGCUGCAUGGCUGUCGUCAGCUCGUGUCGUGAGAUGUUGGGUUAAGUCCCGCAACGAGCGCAACCCUUGUCGUUAAUUGCCAUCAUUUAGUUGGGCACUUUAACGAGACUGCCGGUGACAAACCGGAGGAAGGUGGGGAUGACGUCAAGUCCUCAUGGCCCUUAUGGGUAGGGCUUCACACGUCAUACAAUGGUCGGUACAAAGGGUCGCCAAGCCGCGAGGUGGAGCCAAUCCCAGAAAGCCGAUCGUAGUCCGGAUCGCAGUCUGCAACUCGACUGCGUGAAGUCGGAAUCGCUAGUAAUCGUGGAUCAGAAUGUCACGGUGAAUACGUUCCCGGGUCUUGUACACACCGCCCGUCACACCAUGGGAGCGGGUUCCGCCAGAAGUAGGUAGCCUAACCGCAAGGAGGGCGCUUACCACGGCGGGGUUCGUGACUGGGGUGAAGUCGGAACAAGGUAGCCGUAGGGGAACCUGCGGCUG